GCGAACGACAGUCCGCAGGGCGCGGUGAAACGGAGGGGGCAAGCGUUGUGCGGAUGUACUGGGCGGAAAGGGCACGGAGGCGGCUGCGUGAGUCGGACGUGAAAGCUGCUGGCUAAACUGGGAGAGGUCGGUCGAAACUGCGCGGAUUGAGGUUGGAAGAGGAGAGCGGAAUUCCCGGUGUAGUGGUGGAAUGCGUAGAUAUCGGGAGGAACACCAGUGGCGAAAGCGGCUCUCUGGUCCACACCUGACGCUCAGGUGCGAAAGCGUGGGUAGCGAACGGGAUUAGAUACCCUAGUAGUC
rnacentral:rRNA from 1 species